rnacentral:rRNA from 1 species
UACGUAGGGGGCAAGCGUUGUCCGGAAUUAUUGGGCGUAAAGAGCGUGUAGGCGGCCCGGUAAGUCCGCUGUAAAAGUCAAAGGCUCAACCUUUGAAUGUCAGUGGAUACUGCCGGACUAGAGUUCGGAAGAGGCGAGUGGAAUUCCCGGUGUAGCGGUGAAAUGCGCAGAUAUCGGGAGGAACACCAAUGGCGAAGGCAGCUCGCUGGGACGUUACUGACGCUGAGACGCGAAAGCGUGGGGAGCAAACAGG